CACGUAGUUAGCCGUGGCUUUCUGAUUAGGUACCGUCAAGACGUGCACUGUUACUUACACAUUUGUUCUUCCCUAAUAACAGAGUUUUACGAUCCGAAGACCUUCAUCACUCACGCGGCGUUGCUCCGUCAGGCUUUCGCCCAUUGCGGAAGAUUCCCUACUGCUGCCUCCCGUAGGAGUCUGGACCGUGUCUCAGUUCCAGUGUGGCCGAUCACCCUCUCAGGUCGGCUACGUAUCGUUGCCUUGGUAAGCCAUUACCCCACCAACUAGCUAAUACGGCGCGGGUCCAUCUAUAAGUGAUAGCAAAACCAUCUUUCACUUUAGAACCAUGCGGUUCUAAAUAUUAUCCGGCAUUAGCCCCGGUUUCCCGGAGUUAUUCCCAGUCUUAUAGGUAGGUUACCCACGUGUUACUCACCCGUCCGCCGCUAACGUCAAAGGAGCAAGCUCCUUAUCUGUUCGCUCGACUUGCAUGUAUUAGGCACGCCGCCAGCGUUCAUCCUGAGCCAGGAUCAAACUCUC
rnacentral:rRNA from 1 species